AGACGAACUGUUCAAACGUUAUUCGGAAUCACUGGGCUUAAAGGGCGCGUAGGCGGUCUAGUAAGCGAGGUCUGAAAUCCCGCGGCUCAACCGCGGAACUGGGCUUCGAACUGUUAGACUAGAGUGAAGUAGGGGCAAGCGGAACUUGCGGUGGAGCGGUGAAAUGCUUUGAUAUCGCAAGGAACACCGGUGGCGAAAGCGGCUUGCGUGGCUUUAACUGACGCUCAAGCGCGAAAGCUAGGGUAGCGAACGGGAUUAGAUACCCCGGUAGUCCUAGCCGUAAACACUGAGCGCUUGUUCGAGGGAGAUUUUCUUUCUCGAGCGUAGCGAAAGUCUUAAGCGCUCCGCCUGGGGAGUAUGGUCGCAAGGCUGAAACUCAAAUGAAUUGACGGGG
rnacentral:rRNA from 1 species